CAUAGGUUAAUGAGGCGAACCGGGGGAACUGAAACAUCUAAGUACCCCGAGGAAAAGAAAUCAACCGAGAUUCCCCCAGUAGCGGCGAGCGAACGGGGAGGAGCCCAGAGCCUGAAUCAGUGUGUGUGUUAGUGGAAGCGUCUGGAAAGGCGCGCGAUACAGGGUGACAGCCCCGUACACAAAAAUGCACAUAUUGUGAGCUCGAUGAGUAGGGCGGGACACGUGGUAUCCUGUCUGAAUAUGGGGGGACCAUCCUCCAAGGCUAAAUACUCCUGACUGACCGAUAGUGAACCAGUACCGUGAGGGAAAGGCGAAAAGAACCCCGGCGAGGGGAGUGAAAAAGAACCUGAAACCGUGUACGUACAAGCAGUGGGAGCCUCUUUUAUGGGGUGACUGCGUACCUUUUGUAUAAUGGGUCAGCGACUUAUAUUCUGUAGCAAGGUUAACCGAAUAGGGGAGCCGAAGGGAAACCGAGUCUUAACUGGGCGUUAAGUUGCAGGGUAUAGACCCGAAACCCGGUGAUCUAGCCAUGGGCAGGUUGAAGGUUGGGUAACACUAACUGGAGGACCGAACCGACUAAUGUUGAAAAAUUAGCGGAUGACUUGUGGCUGGGGGUGAAAGGCCAAUCAAACCGGGAGAUAGCUGGUUCUCCCCGAAAGCUAUUUAGGUAGCGCCUCGUGAAUUCAUCUCCGGGGGUAGAGCACUGUUUCGGCAAGGGGGUCAUCCCGACUUACCAACCCGAUGCAAACUGCGAAUACCGGAGAAUGUUAUCACGGGAGACACACGGCGGGUGCUAACGUCCGUCGUGAAGAGGGAAACAACCCAGACCGCCAGCUAAGGUCCCAAAGUCAUGGUUAAGUGGGAAACGAUGUGGGAAGGCCCAGACAGCCAGGAUGUUGGCUUAGAAGCAGCCAUCAUUUAAAGAAAGCGUAAUAGCUCACUGGUCGAGUCGGCCUGCGCGGAAGAUGUAACGGGGCUAAACCAUG
rnacentral:rRNA from 1 species